rnacentral:pre_miRNA from 1 species
AUGUAGUGUAGCAUGUCCGUUUGGUGAAUCACUCUGAUGAAUGUUUUAUAUUUAAAUACUUUUGGGUAACGGGGUGUUACAACA